UACGAAGGGGGCUAGCGUUGCUCGGAAUCACUGGGCGUAAAGCGCACGUAGGCGGCUUUUAAGUCGGUGGUGAAAUCCUGGAGCUCAACUCCAGAACUGCCUCCGAUACUGAAAGGCUUGAGUCCGGGAGAGGUGAGUGGAACUGCGAGUGUAGAGGUGAAAUUCGUAGAUAUUCGCAAGAACACCAGUGGCGAAGGCGGCUCACUGGCCCGGUACUGACGCUGAGGUGCGAAAGCGUGGGGAGCAAACAGGG
rnacentral:rRNA from 1 species